UCAAAAAGACACAAAAAAAGAUUUGACUAAAGAAAUCAGCUCACUUGAUAAAAUUUCAACAAAUUCUGCAGCAAUGAAUGGAGACUCAACACAGAGCUCGCACAUUGUGUAUUCUACCCCAUAGACUUGGUGCUGGUAAAAUCUUCCUUGUCUGCUUCCUUAGGGCCAACUUGGGAGGGGCUGUAUAUACACACAUGAGUGAUCCUCAGAUCACAACUCACAGAAGCUGGCUUGAAUACUGGCUAUACCAUUCCCAACUCAAGCCCUGCGAGCCUGGGAUAUCUGUCUUGUGACCCACUGCCUUAAUAUUCCUAUCAGCUGGUAGAAGAUUUAAAUCUCUUACUCAGAAGAAAAAGUACAUCUCCAGAUACAAAACUUUGCCAUGCUGCCUCUGAUUGUUUUCAUGGCCACACGUGGCCAGUCAGGGAAGGGCAAUUCAAAUUCGUUUUUCGGUGCAGCAAGAAACAUGCUAGGUUUGAGGACUACUUUCCUUUUGCAGCGCCUCAGGGCUCCCCCGGUGGGCAUCCUUCCAGAGUGAUGAGCAGAAUAAGCUGGACGAUUUCAUUAAUCACGCAAAAGCCCUCCGGUGUUUCUCAGGUGGUGUGCAGAUCUAAGACUCAAGGUUACCCGUCCACCCGAUGUCUGUCAAGGGCCUUUAGACAGACCCUCUGGGGAGCAUCCCCGACUGCCGACUACUGCGUCUGCCCCAUCCAGCAGGAAGAAGCUAGAGCAGUCGUCACCCGUUUUCUCCUAACAGCAGUCAGGGACUCUUCGCCAGAGGGAAUUUGUAGUAAGCACGGCAGGCAGCUAGGGAUAAAGUAGACCCAAGAUGGCACUGCGGUGACCCAGGGGAGGUCAAAAUGAAGCCUUGAGACAGGCCUGAGAAGAACCAGGCCCCAGGAUGGAGACACAAGGGCCAUGGCUGAAUCUCUGUAGCCUCACCUAGCUGAACUGUUUUGUAACCUGGCAGACUGACCUUAGCCUGGUGCAGAGUGCUCUGAGAUGUGGUCUUGUUCUUGUAGAAAAACCGCUAGACAGAGUCCCCCAGCAACCCACCUUCCAACCCGUCCCAAUUAUAGGAGCUUUCUUCCAAUAAACCCUUUUUCCUA